rnacentral:rRNA from 1 species
AAAAGCGUCUAGAGAGAGAAGUAGUGCCCGUACCGCAAACCGACACAGGUAGGUGAGGAGAGAAUCCUAAGGCCGGCGGAAGAAUUACAGUUAAGGAACUCGGCAAAUUGACCCCGUAAGUUCGCGAGAAGGGGUGCCUACGAGAGUAGGCCGCAGAGAAUAGGCCCAAGCAAACUGUUUAGCAAAAACACAGGUCUCUGCUAAAGCGUAAGCUGAUGUAUAGGGGCUGACGCCUGCCCGGUGCUGGAAGGUUAAGGGGAACACUUAGCGCAAGCGAAGGUGUGAACUUAAGCCCCAGUAAACGGCGGCCGUAACUAUAACGGUCCUAAGGUAGCGAAAUUCCUUGUCAGGUAAGUUCUGACCCGCACGAAUGGCGUAAUGACUUGGGCACUGUCUCAACUGUAAAUCCGGCGAAGUUGUAGUGCGAGUGAAGAUGCUCGCUACCCGCGAUUGGACGGAAAGACCCCGUAGAGCUUUACUGUAGCUUAGCAUUGAGUUUUGGUAUUGUCUGUACAGGAUAGGUGGGAGACUAGGAAACCAGGGCGUCAGCCUUGGUGGAGUCAACCUUGGGAUACCACCCUGACAGUACUGAAAUUCUAACUGGCGGCCAUGAAUCUGGUCACAGGACAUUGUUAGGUGGGCAGUUUGACUGGGGCGGUCGCCUCCUAAAAAGUAACGGAGGCGCCCAAAGGUUCCCUCAGAACGGUCGGAAAUCGUUCGAAGAGUGCAAAGGCAGAAGGGAGCCUGACUGCGACACCCACAAGUGGAGCAGGGACGAAAGUCGGGCUUAGUGAUCCGGUGGUACCUCGUGGGAGGACCAUCGCUCAACGGAUAAAAGCUACCUCGGGGAUAACAGGCUGAUCUCCCCCAAGAGUCCACAUCGACGGGGAGGUUUGGCACCUCGAUGUCGGCUCGUCGCAUCCUGGGGCUGAAGUAGGUCCCAAGGGUUGGGCUGUUCGCCCAUUAAAGCGGCACGCGAGCUGGGUUCAGAACGUCGUGAGACAGUUCGGUCCCUAUCCGUCGCGGGCGUAGGAAAUUUGAGAGGAGCUGUCCUUAGUACGAGAGGACCGGGAUGGACUGACCUCUGGUGUACCAGUUGUUCCGCCAGGAGCACAGCUGGGUAGCUAAGUCGGGAAUGGAUAAACGCUGAAAGCAUCUAAGCGUGAAGCCAACCUCAAGAUGAGAUUUCCCAUAGCGUAAGCUAGUAAGAUCCCUUGAAGAACACAAGGUUGAUAGGUCGGGGGUGUAAGCAUGGUAACAUGUUCAGCUGACCGAUACUAAUAGAUCGAGGGCUUGACCA